rnacentral:rRNA from 1 species
UGGGGAAUAUUGCACAACGGGCGCAAGCCUGAUGCAGCCAUGCCGCGUGUAUGAAGAAGGCCUUCGGGUUGUAAAGUACUUUCAGCGGGGAGGAAGGCGAUAAGGUUAAUAACCUUGUCGAUUGACGUUACCCGCAGAAGAAGCACCGGCUAACUCCGUGCCAGCAGCCGCGGUAAUACGGAGGGUGCAAGCGGUAAUCGGAAUUACUGGGCGUAAAGCGCACGCAGGCGGUCUGUCAAGUCGGAUGUGAAAUCCCCGGGCUCAACCUGGGAACUGCAUUCGAAACUGGCAGGCUAGAGUCUUGUAGAGGGGGGUAGAAUUCCAGGUGUAGCGGUGAAAUGCGUAGAGAUCUGGAGGAAUACCGGUGGCGAAGGCGGCCCCCUGGACAAAGACUGACGCUCAGGUGCGAAAGCGUGGGGAGCAAACA